CGGUCGCGUCCUACUUAAUUAAUUUCGGUGUUGCUUGCUUGUUUUUGUUUUGGUGCAAUAGAUAAACCCCAUAUGAAAGCCAAUAAUAUUUUUUCUAGUUUAGGGCAGGUGAAACAACCGAUAACGUUGUCUAGCUGAUGCCGUUUGGACAUGUUAUCAGCUGUGCGUCCAGUGUAAGGAGGUGACAUGUUUAAUGGAGUGUUGACUUGUGUGUGUUGAUUUUUGAAGCGUGAAGAUCGGGAAGUGUCGUCAUGCCGCUUUUGAAUGGCUUUAGUGAUAACCUGCUUGAAGUGACUUCCUGCGAAACAAUAGGUGACAGAAAAAACAAUCAACACGCAGCUGAUAUAUAUAUAAGGGAGGUCAUAAGCAAUACUUUCAGUAACGACAAUAUCUCGACGCUACCUUACGAACACUGUGGUUAGACUAAAAACUAGAACGAAAAUGCAAGUUGAAAGAGGAAUGGAGUGCUUUCCAAAGUUUAACAACGAAACAACAGAACUCGGUCAACAGUCCCUGAUCAACGAGUCUGGUUCUGAGAAGCAAGUAGAAGGCGCUUUUUUGGAGCUUCGAAACAUUCUGCCCUUUCUGCCACAAAGGCAAGAAAAGCUAUCAGAUCUAGAGGUUCUUCAGCUGGCGAUGGAGUACAUAUCUAGUUUAGAGGAAGUUUUAGAACUAGAACCAAAGCAGAAUGUGAAAAGUUUGUGAAGCAAGUGGGGAACAGUCUUGUGAUAUGUCUUAACAGCGGGCUGACAGUACCGAACUUUCUUGCGAACUUUCUUGAAAUUAAAGGAUAAAAUAUGGUACUUGUUUUGAUUCCCAACCAAGUAUUCAAUUCUACGGAGAACUCCAGCUCAGGUUAAUGUUUGUCUAUAAAGAACUUACAUUUAACCCUGUGAGGAAUUCGAAGGUCCAAGAUAAAUAGCUUCAGUGGAAAAGACUUUAAUUGAACGAACUUGUACUACACGACAAGCAUCAUCUUUCACCGAAAUAUUGAGGCUAUCAGUUCUCGAAUGGACGAGAAGAAGUGUAUGUAAAAAGACUAAAUAUUGACAUUCUAUACUAUACUUGCUUUACUGCAUUGCUUGAUAUUUUUAUGUCUUAUAUAUGCUAGAGCUCGAUAAAGAAGAUUUAUAAAUGUUCAUAUCUCGUUAGAGGCAAUUAAGGAAUUUUAACAGUAAAUUAAUUGGCCAAGUGCUUAAUGAUAGCUUAACGUGUGUAGCAAGUUUAAAGGUUGUUUACUCAAUCUGCACUUGGUAUUUAAGCACAGAAAAAUCCUUCGAACUAGAGCUUCAAGUUUUUGUUUCUAGAAAUAAUUAGAUAACUAAAAAACUGAAGUGUACAUCAAGAGAAAUCAUCACCAUUGAGUGUUAAGCUAUGUGAUGUAAUUAUUAUUUCAAUUUAACUAAUGUAAAUAUAAAAUUGGAAGACUGUAGAACAUCAAAAUACAUGUAAAUAUUAAUAGAAUACUACUAGCGGAGAAAAUAUAAUAUUAAUAAAUAUAUAUAUCUUAAACAUUA